rnacentral:tRNA from 1 species
GUCUGGAUGGCUCAGUCGGUUAAGCGUCUGACUUCGGCUCAGGUCAUGAUUUCGUGGAUCGUGGGUUCGAGCCCCUCUUUGGGCU